GCUUGUAUAGUUUAAUUGGUUAAAACAUUUGUCUCAUAAAUAAAUAAUGUAAGGUUCAAUUCCUUCUACAAGUACCA
rnacentral:tRNA from 1 species